CACUCUUUAUGCCGGGACUAAUUGAACAUUGUCGCGAUCUGGCAGUACUCUAAACGACACUGCAUUUCAUACGUGCGUUUCACCGAGACGUAGGGGGAAGUGACGUCAUACGUUCAAACUGGAAAUGACGUCCCGCGAACAAAAGAUUGUAUACAGAUGUUCGUGGAAGAUGGGGGAUAUAAAAGAUGAGCAUUAGGACUCAUUCAUCAGCACUGGAAAAAGGAUUAUCCAAC